AGCAGCUCUAUCACUGAACAUGGCAGACCUCUGCAGUCUCAGGGUCCUGCUGCUCUGGGCAGGAAUCUUUGUUUCGGCCAACUUGCAUGAUUUACCCACCGAGACACCAACCCCUGAGCCUCCACAGUGUGAAGAUGAUGUUAAAGAAAAAUACUGCAUCUGUUACGGGCCCCAGGGAUGGUGCCACCAUAACAAAAAUGAAAUCCCUG